UGCAAGUCGAACGGGUGAGGAGCUUGCUCCUCAUCUAGUGGCGAACGGGUGAGUAAUACAUCGGAACGUACCGUGUAGUGGGGGAUAACGUAGCGAAAGUUACGCUAAUACCGCAUACGAUCCACGGAUGAAAGCAGGGGACCUUCGGGCCUUGUGCUAUACGAGCGGCCGAUGUCUGAUUAGCUAGUUGGUGGGUAAAGGCCCACCAAGGCAACGAUCAGUAGCGGGUCUGAGAGGAUGAUCCGCCACACUGGGACUGAGACACGGCCCAGACUCCUACGGGAGGCAGCAGUGGGGAAUUUUGGACAAUGGGCGCAAGCCUGAUCCAGCCAUGCCGCGUGUCUGAAGAAGGCCUUCGGGUUGUAAAGGACUUUUGUCAGGGAGCAAAACCCAGCAGCUAAUAUCUGUUGGGGAUGAGAGUACCUGAAGAAUAAGCACCGGCUAACUACGUG
rnacentral:rRNA from 1 species